rnacentral:rRNA from 1 species
GAUGAACGCUGGCGGCAUGCCUAAUACAUGCAAGUCGAGCGGACGGAUAGUGAGCUUUCUCCUUUGCCGUUGGCGGCGGACGGGUGAGUAAUACGUAGGUCACCUACCUCUAAGACUGGAGUAACUACGGGGGACCGGUUACAAUACCGGAUCACAUUUAGAACGGCAGGGUUCUAAAGAGCUAGAUGGUUUUGCUAUCACUUAUAGAUGGUCCCGGGUCGGAUUAGCUAGUUGGUAAGGUAACGGCCUACCAAGGCGACGAUACGUAGCCGACCUGAGAGGGUGAUCAGCCACACUGGAACUGAGACACGGUCCAGACUCCUACGGGAGGCAGCAGUGGGGAAUAUUGGGCAAUGGGCGAAAGCCUGAUGCAGCCACGCCGCGUGAGUGAAGAAGGUCUUCGGAUUGUAAAGCUCUGUUAUUAGGGAAGAACAGAAGUAGGAGUAAACCUGGACGUCUUGACGGUACCUAAACAAAAAGCACCGGCUAACUUCGUG